rnacentral:lncRNA from 1 species
UUUUCGUAAAUAUUUUGUUUGGGAUGGACGAGAGAUUUGUGAAUAUCAUUAUUUAAUGUGCAUUUAUUGUAUAGAUAGUGCUGUGUACAAAAUAUUUAUGAGAACUGAAUAUUUUAUUUAAUUUCUAUUAUGUUUGGGUUAACAUAAUUUGCAAAUUAAAUUUAAAUUGAAUAGAAGUGGCACAAUAUUUAAUCGUAACGUGAAGUAUACACAAUGGUGUCCUACCAGGUAAGAAGCGGCCUACUGAUGGGCUUCGGCUCAUUCACCGUGGUGGCAGGCGCUAUCUUGGUGGUCUUUUGGCCGUCCAUGUUCUUUGCACAGUUGAGAAGAGUAAGUAAUUUUAUAACACACUAGCAGACGCACGCGACUUCGUCCGCGUGAAACUCGAUGUAAACUUUCAACUACCCCUACCCUACUCCUACCUACCUCUACCUGUUGCAGGCAACAUUAUGGUAAAUAAAGGAAUUGUAUAAAAUCGUGCUGGCAACACUGCCCGCCGAUUGUAAUUUGUAAUCGCUCUCUUGCCUUCCGACCACCGGCCUAUGUACACAUGUUCAAUUUAUAUUUCUCAAUUAAAGUGAUUUUUCCAUUCACAUCGGAGUCAACUUAUUAUUCAACCUAUGGUAAUACAGUCCUGCUGCGCACA